AUUACCUCAGUAACGGCGAGUGAAGCGGUAACAGCUCAAAUUUGAAAGCUAGCUCUUUUAGGGUUCGCAUUGUAAUUUGUAGAAGAUGCUUCGGGUGUGGCCCCGGUCUAAGUUCCUUGGAACAGGACGUCAUAGAGGGUGAGAAUCCCGUAUGUGACUGGGUGCUUUCGCUCAUGUGAAGCUCUUUCGACGAGUCGAGUUGUUUGGGAAUGCAGCUCAAAAUGGGUGGUAAAUUUCAUCUAAAGCUAAAUAUUGGCCAGAGACCGAUAGCGCACAAGUAGAGUGAUCGAAAGAUGAAAAGCACUUUGGAAAGAGAGUUAAACAGUACGUGAAAUUGUUGAAAGGGAAGCGCUUGCAACCAGACUUGCGCGCUGAUGAUCAUCCGGGCUUCUGCCCGGUGCACUCGUCUGCGCUCAGGCCAGCAUCGGUUUCGGUGGUGGGAUAAAGGCCUUGGGAAUGUAGCUCCUCUCGGGGAGUGUUAUAGCCCUCGGUGCAAUGCCGCCUACCGGGACCGAGGACCGCGCUUCGGCUAGGAUGCUGGCGUAAUGGUUGUAAGCGACCCGUCUUGAAACACGGACCAAGGAGUCUAACAUCUAUGCGAGUGUUUGGGUGUCAAACCCAUACGCGUAAUGAAAGUGAACGGAGGUGAGAACCCUUAAGGGUGCAUCAUCGACCGAUCCUGAUGUCUUCGGAUGGAUUUGAGUAAGAGCAUAGCUGUUGGGACCCGAAAGAUGGUGAACUAUGCGUGAAUAGGGUGAAGCCAGAGGAAACUCUGGUGGAGGCUCGCAGCGGUUCUGACGUGCAAAUCGAUCGUCAAAUUUGCGUAUAGGGGCGAAAGACUAAUCGAACCAUCUAGUAGCUGGUUCCUGCCGAG
rnacentral:rRNA from 1 species